UAGGGAAUCUUCCACAAUGGACGAAAGUCUGAUGGAGCAACGCCGCGUGAGUGAAGAAGGGUUUCGGCUCGUAAAACUCUGUUGUUAAAGAAGAACAUAUCUGAGAGUAACUGUUCAGGUAUUGACGGUAUUUAACCAGAAAGCCACGGCUAACUGCGUGCCAA
rnacentral:rRNA from 1 species